GUCAGCCAGGGCUCUGCAGGGCCCGGAGAUGCUCUCCUUCUGGGGAGAAGGAGGGGACUUUGUAUUCUGUCCCCUAAAUGUGUAAGGUCCCGGCCUGGGCACAGACAGCCGCAGCUGGUGGCAGAUGAAAUCUGAACUAGGCACUCUUCCUGGCUGAACAACAGGGAGCUGGGCCCCACCUGCCUGCAACUUCUGCAAGACUUUAUCAGGGAGCACAAAUGGCCGUGGAAGAGAAAGGACAAAGGAAAGGGCUGUUUGAGGCUAAGAAGGGACAGGAUCUCAACUAACAGCAGAGGCAGGAACUCUCCCAGCAUUGCCUGCAGAAUGAUGCAGGGAUUUCACCAUGUGGUCUGAAAAUCAGUUCCUUCUUGAAAAACAAGCCUGAAUGAGGGGAAGACUACAAGAUAAUAGGAGAUAUGACCAAACAGCUUUUUCUCUUCUGUUUUUUUUCCCUUCUGCUUUCUUCUGAAUCCUGGCCUUUUUUUUUUUUUUUUUUGGUCUGUUUGGGGUUAUAAAAACCCAAACCACUCUUCUCACUCUGAACUGAUCUUGGAAAAUUUUUAACCCCUCUACUUCCUUGUUGAUGCAUCUUCAAUAAACUCUCCUU